GACGAACGCUGGCGACGUGCUUAACACAUGCAAGUCGAACGGAAAGGCCCUGCUUUUGUGGGGUGCUCGAGUGGCGAACGGGUGAGUAACACGUGAGUAACCUGCCCUUGACUUUGGGAUAACUUCAGGAAACUGGGGCUAAUACCGGAUAGGAGCUCCUGCUGCAUGGUGGGGGUUGGAAAGUUUCGGCGGUUGGGGAUGGACUCGCGGCUUAUCAGCUUGUUGGUGGGGUAGUGGCUUACCAAGGCUUUGACGGGUAGCCGGCCUGAGAGGGUGACCGGCCACAUUGGGACUGAGAUACGGCCCAGACUCCUACGGGAGGCAGCAGUGGGGAAUAUUGCACAAUGGGCGGAAGCCUGAUGCAGCAACGCCGCGUGCGGGAUGACGGCCUUCGGGUUGUAAACCGCUUUCGCCUGUGACGAAGCGUGAGUGACGGCAAUGGGUAAAGAAGCACCGGCUAACUACGUG
rnacentral:rRNA from 1 species